CCUCCACUACUACAAUCAAGUUCACUGCAACGCCUCUAUAACUCUUGAGAAACAAGCCAUUUUCAUAGAGUAUAUGCUAUGAAAAGUAAAUCUCUUAUACAAUAGCUCAUUAAAGUUAUGAAAGUUAUGAAACUCCUUCAACUAUACUAAGCCCACGUACUUGUCUCUUCUCUAAAUAUCUAGAAGAAGAGGUAGAAAUGAUGCAGAUUUUAAAGAAGAUAGUAGUGGAUGAGGAAAAUGGAA
rnacentral:lncRNA from 1 species